rnacentral:rRNA from 1 species
UACAGAGGGGCCGAGCGUUAGGCGGAAUCACUGGGCUUAAAGCGUGUGUAGGCGGAUGCCUAAGUACCUUGUGAAAUCCCCCGGCUUAACCGGGGAACUGCUUGGUAUACUGGGUGUCUUGAGCCACUUAGGGGCGACCGGAACAAACGGUGGAGCGGUGAAAUGCGUAGAUAUCGGUUGGAACGCCAAUGGUGAAAACAGGUCGCUGGGAGUGUGCUGACGCUGAGACACGAAAGCCAGGGGAGCGAACGGG